GACGAACGCUGGCGGCGUGCUUAACACAUGCAAGUCGAACGGAAAGGCCCUGCUUGCAGGGUACUCGAGUGGCGAACGGGUGAGUAACACGUGGGUGAUCUGCCCUGCACUUCGGGAUAAGCCUGGGAAACUGGGUCUUAUACCGGAUAGGAGCCAUUUUUAGUGUGAUGGUUGGAAAGUUUUUUCGGUGUAGGAUGAGCUCGCGGCCUAUCAGCUUGUUGGUGGGGUAAUGGCCUACCAAGGCGGCGACGGGUAGCCGGCCUGAGAGGGUGGACGGCCACAUUGGGACUGAGAUACGGCCCAGACUCCUACGGGAGGCAGCAGUGGGGAAUAUUGCACAAUGGGCGGAAGCCUGAUGCAGCAACGCCGCGUGCGGGAUGACGGCCUUCGGGUUGUAAACCGCUUUCGCCUGUGACGAAGCGUGAGUGACGGUAAUGGGUAAAGAAGCACCGGCUAACUACGUG
rnacentral:rRNA from 1 species